GUAACAUAUUCAUCACAGAGGACAACGACAUCAGGUUAGGUGAUUUUGGAUUAGGAAAAUUGCUAGAUGCAGAAGGCCUUGCUUCCUCGGUAUCUGGCACACCAAACGACAUGUUCCCUGAGCUCCUUGCCGGCAUACCCUAUGGCUAUAAAUCUGAUAUAUGGUCGCUUGGUAAGAAAUAAGAAUGUUGAUGAAGCAAUGUAUUUCAGCUCUUUACAUCAUGUCCCUAAUACUAACACUUUAAU